rnacentral:rRNA from 1 species
GACGAACGCUGGCGGCGUGCUUAACACAUGCAAGUCGAACGGAAAGGCCCUGCUUUUGUGGGGUGCUCGAGUGGCGAACGGGUGAGUAACACGUGAGUAACCUGCCCUUGACUUUGGGAUAACUUCAGGAAGCUGGGGCUAAUACCGGAUAGGAGCUCCUGCUGCAUGGUGGGGGUUGGAAAGUUUCGGCGGUUGGGGAUGGACUCGCGGCUUAUCAGCUUGUUGGUGGGGUAGUGGCUUACCAAGGCUUUGACGGGUAGCCGGCCUGAGAGGGUGACCGGCCACAUUGGGACUGAGAUACGGCCCAGACUCCUACGGGAGGCAGCAGUGGGGAAUAUUGCACAAUGGGCGGAAGCCUGAUGCAGCAACGCCGCGUGCGGGAUGACGGCCUUCGGGUUGUAAACCGCUUUCGCCUGUGACGAAGCGUGAGUGUCGGUAAUGGGUAAAGAAGCACCGGCUAACUACGUG